rnacentral:rRNA from 1 species
GACGAACGCUGGCGGCGUGCUUAACACAUGCAAGUGGAGCGACGAACCAGGGCUUGCCCUGGGGCAGAGCCGCGAACGGGUGAGUAACACGUGGGUAACGUGCCCCGAUGACUGGGACAACCCGGGGAAACCCGGGCUAAUACCGGAUGUGCCCCCUCACAUCAGUGAGGUGUGUAAAGGAAGCUUCGGCCUCCGCAUCGGGAUCGGCCCGCGGCCCAUUAGCUUGUUGGUGAGGUAACGGCUCACCAAGGCUGCGAUGGGUAGCUGGUCUGAGAGGACGAUCAGCCACACUGGGACUGAGACACGGCCCAGACUCCUACGGGAGGCAGCAGUGGGGAAUCUUGCGCAAUGCGCGAAAGCGUGACGCAGCAACGCCGCGUGAGGGAAGACGGCCUUCGGGUUGUAAACCCCUUUCAGUGGGGACGAAGGUCGGGCGGUUAACAGCCGUUCCGGCUGACGGUACCUUCACAAGAAGCCCCGGCUAACUACGUG